GGGGGUGAUACGGAUUCGACUGGGGCAUAGAAACAGGAGUGGCACGCAGAGGUUGCUCAGGAGGCCUCUUAAAACACCUGGCACAAUCGUACAUGCCAAUCAAGCUAAAGUAGUCGCGUUCGAGAAGAUGAACACGGUUCAGUUCGCUCCUCGAAUGUUGGCAUUGGCUGCUUAGACAGCCACGUCUAUCAAGCUUAUGUCUGCAGGGCUUGAAUAGGCGACCCAUAGCAGGCUGGUCAAGGGUGGAGAUGGCGCACCUUUGACGAGGAAAACCCAUGCCAACUGGCUCUUUUGAAAUCCUGACUAUUGGAGUUUAAAAGAGCGAGAUCAAAACAAUAGCCUAAGCGUGUAGAGGCUCUUGCAGAAGUGCUCUAGGACGUGGGUUCGACUCCCACCACCUCCAAAU
rnacentral:tmRNA from 1 species